AAUCCAUGCAUAGGACUCUUUCGCAACAAAUCCUUGAAUAUUUCUCAUGCUUUUUACAAGCUUUUAUCAUCCAUUUUCUUGAAUGAAGUUAAAUCAUUUCAGAGUUU